GAUAUCGCCUUCCUUGAGCGGCCGGUCGCCGGGCAUGCCGUGGCACACCACAUGAUUGAUCGACGUGCAGGUCGAAUAGCGAUAGCCGCGAUACAUCAGGGUCGCGGGAUAGGCCUUAUGGUCGAAAGCGAACUUGCGGACGAAAUCGUCGAUCUGCGAGGUGAAAAUACCCGGCCUGACGAUGGUGGCCAGUUCGUCGAGACAUCGCGCGACCAGCGCUCCCGCCUUGCGCAUGCCGGCAAACA
rnacentral:misc_RNA from 1 species